AAUGAACGCUGGCGGCAGGCCUAACACAUGCAAGUCGAACGGAUCCUUCGGGAUUAGUGGCGGACGGGUGAGUAACGCGUGGGGACAUACCCUUUGGUACGGAAUAGCCUCGGGAAACUGGGAGUAAUACCGUAUGUGGUCGAGAGACGAAAGAUUUAUCGCCAAAGGAUUGGCCCGCGUUGGAUUAGGUAGUUGGUGGGGUAAUGGCCUACCAAGCCGACGAUCCAUAGCUGGUGUGAGAGGAUGAUCAGCCACACUGGGACUGAGACACGGCCCAGACUCCUACGGGAGGCAGCAGUGGGGAAUCUUAGACAAUGGGGGAACCCCUGAUCUAGCCAUGCCGCGUGAUCGAUGAAGGCCUUAGGGUUGUAAAGAUCUUUCAGGUGGGAAGAUAAUGACUGUACCACCAGAAGAAGCCCCGGCUAACUCCGUGCCAGCAGCCGCCGCAGUAA
rnacentral:rRNA from 1 species